UACGUAGGGUGCAAGCGUUAAUCGGAAUUACUGGGCGUAAAGCGUGCGCAGGCGGUUUUGUAAGUCUGUCGUGAAAAUCCCCCGGGCUCAACCUGGGGAAUUGCGAUGGAGACUGCAAGGCUUGAAUCUGGCAGAGGGGGGGUAGAAUUCCACGUGUAGCAGUGAAAUGCGUAGAGAUGUGGAGGAACACCGAUGGCGAAGGCAGCCCCCUGGGUCAAGAUUGACGCUCAUGCACGAAAGCGUGGGGAGCAAACAGG
rnacentral:rRNA from 1 species